rnacentral:rRNA from 1 species
GAUGAACGCUGGCGGCGUGCCUAAUACAUGCAAGUCGAGCGAAGCGGGGACGGGUGAGUAACACGUGGAUAACCUCCUAUAAGACUGGGCUAACUUCGGGAAACCGUAGCUAAACCGGAUCCUUAUAGAUUGAUCCUCGCUGCAUUAGCUAGUUGGUAAGGUACCGGCUUAACAAGGCAACGAUGCAUCGCCGACCUAAGAGGGUGAUCGGCCACACUGGAACGGAUACACGGUCCAGACGCCUCCGGGAGGCAGCAGUAGGGAAUCUUCCGCAAUGGGCGAAAGCCUGAUGGAGCAACGCCGCGUGAGUUAUGAAGGUCUUCGGAUCGUAAAACUCUGUUAUUAGGGAAGCGGUACCCAAUCAGAAAGCCACGGCUAACUACGUGCCAGCCGCCGCGGUAAUUC